rnacentral:rRNA from 1 species
GACGGAGGUGCCAAGCGUUAGGCGGAAUCACUGGGCUUAAAGCGUGUGUAGGCGGAUUUGUAAGUACCUUGUGAAAUCCCACGGCUUAACCGUGGAACUGCUCGGUAUACUGCGAAUCUUGGGUCAUCUAGGGGCGAGCGGAACAAGUGGUGGAGCGGUGAAAUGCGUAGAUAUCACUUGGAACGCCAAUGGUGAAAACAGCUCGCUGGGGAUGUACCGACGCUGAGACACGAAAGCCAGGGGAGCGAACGGG